UACGAAGGGGAGCGAGCGUUAUUCGGAAUCACUGGGCGUAAAGCGUGCGUAGGCUGUUCGGCAAGUUGGAAGUGAAAGCCCAGGGCUCAACCCUGGAAUUGCUUUCAAAACUGCCGAACUAGAGUCCGGGAGAGGAUAGCGGAAUUUCCAGUGUAGUAGUGAAAUACGUAGAUAUUGGAAGGAACACCAGUGGCGCAAGCGGCUAUCUGGACCGGUACUGACGCUGAGGCACGAAAGCGUGGGGAUCAAACAGG
rnacentral:rRNA from 1 species